CACAGAACUAGAGGCUGGUCGCUCCGCCCCUGUGCUCCAGCCGCUGAGCCGAUCAGAGUUUGGGUUUCGCGGCACCUCUUAAUCUACUCAGAUCGCGGCCUCUGGGCCCAGGUAUGUGCUGUGUGCUAAGUCUCUUCAGUAGUGUCCGACUCUGCCACCCCCAUGGCUCCUCUGUCCAAGGAAUUUUCCAGGCGAAUUCACCACUGGUCUACAUGAGAAUCCGGUGCAAGCGGCUGAAUGGUUGCAGUCCUGAGGAUUUCCCAGGUGUACACUACUUGUGGUUGCCAUUCCAGAUAACAGGCCCAACUUGGAGAAAUUCAGCACCUCUGUCCAGAAAGGUUUUAACUACAAAGUCAUCUUCAAUUUGUGCAACGACAGAGGGCCAGGAUAGUAACUGAACCAGGAAUGGCUUCUCUCCUGUGGCCGCAGGUACUGUGGUACCCAGGGACUUCUCCUUUGCUGUUUCAGAUGCCCUGUGAUGGAACCUUUAGCGCUCAGUUGCUCAGUCAUGUCUGACUCUUUGCAACCCCAUGGACUGUAGCCUGCCAGGUUCCUCUGUCCAUGGGAUUUCCCAGGCAAGAAUACUGGAGUGGGUUGCCGUUUCCUCCUCCAGGAAAUCUUCCCGACCCAGAGAUCAAACCCAUGUCUCUUAUGUCUCCUGCACUGGCAGGCAGAUUCUUUACCACUAAUGCCACAUAGGAAGCCCUAUGAUGGGGGCCUUUCACACACUGUAUACUCAAAUUCUCCUGAAAUUAAGCAUCUGCUUCACAUUGCUCCAGCCCAGCUCCCUUUUGUAAUUACACAUAUAAAUAGAUACUAAAAUCAAAUAGAAACAGCUAGAUAGCAACAGCAAUCCAAAAGGAAAAACUAAUAUGUUUGAAAACAUAUGAAUUUGUUGCAAUCAAUUCAUAUUCAUUGUUGUGUUGCACUAGUCACUUAAAUCGCCUUUGUAUAAUAACUAAGAUUUAUGAGACCUUAAUAUGUGCUAGAAACUAUGCUAAGGCUUUAUAAGCAUCAUUGCUUUUCAUCUUCAUUUCUUAGGUAGGUACUGUUAUGUUCCCCAUUUUACAAGUGAGAAUACUGAACCUCAAGAAGUUUAGAUGUAAUAUGAGGCCACAGAGCUAGAAAAGCCUAUUAACCAACAUCUGUACAGUUUCUCCUGGGAGCUGAAAAGCAUUUUCAACACCAUGGAAACAUGACAGAGAAUUCCCGGCCCCCACAGCCCACAGCCUCUGCUGCACUGCUCAGUCCUCCUGUGUUUCCCCAACGAUUGUCUGAACUGCCUGAUGUCAUGGUAUUUGCAGUCCUCCUCCUGUCCCUCCUAGAUUCAUGCUUUACUCAUCCUACUAUCCCAACGGUGUCUUCCAAAAUCUCCUAAAUCCCACGGCCCCCAAAGACAGGUGUGAAUAAUUGGCACAGGAGACCUACCUGUUUGUAGACUUUGUCUGUAGAAACUGAUGUGGGUUUCUAGCCCCCAGAAAAUUGUACUGACAGGUGCUUCCACUUGAUGCAAUUAAAUGGAUCUUCUGAAAAUCAUGUCCUCUCUGUAGACAAAGGUAUCUCCCGCUGGGAUAAUCUCAUCUCACCUCAAACCACAUUUCCUCAAACACACCCCCACCUGGGUGGACACACAUCCAUCCACACCUGCCAUAACUGCUUGUCAAAGGGGAAGCCAAGUCAGGCCUGAGUCUGGCACUGACUUCUCUGAGCGCUCAUCUAAGAAAAGCUGUCAGGAAGCUUGCAUUCCUGCAGACCCACUGUGUGCCGUGUUCUUCACAAUCAUGAUCUUAGCCUGCCAGCAACUGUUCAAGGUAGUUAGCUCUUACCCUCUUUGUACACGUAAGGGAGCUAAGGCUCAGGGCUUUGGGUGACUUGCCUCUGGUCAUGCAGCUGGUAAGCAAUAGGAAUUGGAUUUAGACCCAGAUAUAUUUGACUCAAAAACCUCUAUGCUGUGGUAGAUGUAUUUCCCCACCUUCCUCACAUCAGUCUCUCCCCAGAGAAGAGCUGUGACUCCACUGGUGACUGGCUGUUUCCCUUUUCUCUCCCUUCUCUCCCCUUCCUCCCUUCACCCCGGCAUCCCCACUAGUGAGUUGUAAUGUUGGAACCUGGGGAUUGAGAGGUUCCAAAUAUGGGGAGUCAAGCCCAUCAGUCCCUCGUUCAUCCCACUGUGAGUCUGGGAGAUCAUGUGAUUAUUUUUCAGAUGACACCCGUGUUCUCUGCAGAGGCACAGACUGAAAAGAAUUCAUUAGAGGAUUUUGAGAGCGUGUGUUUGUGAUGGGUAUGGUUGUAUGCACAGUGUGCAGAAUUUAUGAGCAUUUAAGAAAUCAGCCCCCACUGCAAAGCACCUUCAGUGCUUCUCCCAAAUGCCAGUUCCCCAUGAUGCCAAGGUGCCUCUGCUAAAUCAGAGGACGUUUAGAAAAAACACUUCAUGGAAUAUCUGCAGAAUAAUGUGAUAGGAAGAGGAGCAGCCUAGCCUCUGCCACUGAACGCAGAGUCCAGCUUGCCUGCUGUGCCCUGUCUUCUUCUCCUUUUCCGAGUCUGGCUACUGAGAUCUUUCUCGUGCGCGCUCAGGAAUCCUGGAGGAUGUGUGAGACCCAUGUGUCAGUGGUGCCAUUUGUACAAAACUCAAAAUAUCCAAGACACACAGAGCCUCCCAGUUUUAAGACUCAGAGACUUGAGUAUAAAUCCUCCUAGGUUCAGUGGGAUUUCCCUGGUGGUCCAGUGGUUAAAACUCUGGGUUUCCAAUGCACAGGGGGUGGGUUCAAUCCUUGAAAGGGAACUAAGAUCCUACAUGCCACACAGCCAAAAAUAAGUAACCAAAUUCUAGUAGGUUCAAUGAGACAAAAUGGCUCAAUGCAUUCUUAUGACUGCUCCAUCCCUUUUAUUGGGUUUGGCCUAAAUGGAAACUGCCAUGGAACCCAGGACAGUUUCUGAAAAUAAAUAGUGCUUAGGGAAGGUCUAAAUCUUUGAAGGGUAUAACUACAAAGAUCCUCUAAAGAUUCGUGGCAGGGUGAAAAGACUUCUUUUACAUCAGUCUUACUCUCUGACCACCCCAUUCAACCUGCCAGGAGAAAAACCUAGGGAUUACAGAACACUUAUCUGGUGCUUAGACCACACAUUGUCAGUUAAUUCCAGAAAUCUCCAGAGUGCAACAUGGAACAAGAAGGGAUGGAAUCCUAAGGAUAGAAUUGUAAUAAACAAGAAAUGAAGGCAGCCUUUUGUUUAUGUGAGGAAUAGUCAUCUAUUCAUGGAAAACUGAAGGAAAUGAAUUCUCACUGUGGGGAAGCGUAUUUGUUCUCAAACUGCCUUAGAAGGAAACCAGCAACAACACAGGCUGAAGCCCCUCCCCUGCUAACAUUCUGCACUAGUCAGAGAAACAGAACCAACGGGGUGUGUGUGUACAGAGAGACUAAGAAAUUAGCUCAUGCAGGGACUUCCCUGGCGGCCCAGUGUAUGAGAAUCUGCUUGCCGAGGCAGGGGACACAGGUUCAGUCCCUGGUCUGGGAAGAUUUCACAUGCUGCGAGCAACUAAGCCUGUGCACCACGA